CUACGGAGGGUCCAAGCGUUAUCCGGAAUCAUUGGGUUUAAAGGGUGCGCAGGCGGUUUAUUAAGUCAGUGGUGAAAUCUCGGGGCUCAACCUCGAAACUGCCAUUGAUACUGAUAAACUUGAGUUCAGUUGGAGUAGGCGGAAUGUGUAGUGUAGCGGUGAAAUGCUUAGAUAUUACACAGAACACCGAUAGCGAAGGCAGCUUACUAAACUGAUACUGACGCUGAGGCACGAAAGCGUGGGGAGCGAACAGGAUUAGAAACCCCAGUAGUCC
rnacentral:rRNA from 1 species